ACGGAGGAUGCGAGCGUUAUCCGGAUUCAUUGGGUUUAAAGGGUGCGUAGGCGGACUAAUAAGUCAGUGGUGAAAUCCUGCAGCUUAACUGCAGAACUGCCAUUGAUACUGUUAGUCUUGAGUUUGGUUAAGGUAGGCGGAAUGUGUAAUGUAGCGGUGAAAUGCUUAGAUAUUACACAGAACACCAAUUGCGUAGGCAGCUUACUGGACCGACACUGACGCUGAGGCACGAAAGCGUGGGGAUCGAACAGGAUUAGAUACCCUGGUAGUCCACGCCGUAAACGAUGAUUACUCGCUGUUGGCGAUACACAGUCAGCGGCUAAGCAAAAGCAAUAAGUAAUCCACCUGGGGAGUACGGCCGCAAGGUUG
rnacentral:rRNA from 1 species